rnacentral:lncRNA from 1 species
GAUAUCCUCUUCCCUUUUUUCCAAAGAAAGAUGCAGUCUAGGGCACCUCAGUUAAGAAUAUGGACUCUAAAGUCAGACUGCCGGGCUUCAAAUUCCAGUUCUGCGACCUCAGCAAAGUUACUUAACCAAGCUCUCAGUGCCUUGUUUUCUUCAUCUGUAAAAUGAGGAUGACGUCACAGCAUUGUUGAGAGAAUUAAUACAGGCUCCAGACUUGUGAAUGAAGAAGUGUUGAGAUGACCCCAGCCCCAGCCACCACCUGACGACAACCAUAUCAGAGAUCCUGAGAGCUGCCUAGCUGACCCCAGGCACCCCCCAGAUUUAUUCAGCACUUAGAAGAAUGCCAGGCAGGCUUUCCCCACCAACCAAGAUGGAAUAACAGGGAAAAGACAUACCCUUCUAUCUUCAAUAAUUGGAAACCCAGACAAAGUUUAUGAAACGCUGGUUUUCAAGACAUAGGACAUCAGACAAUCAAGGACAGUAAACACUGAGAUGGGAAACAAACAAGGUGAGUACUGCAAUUGCCCAACAUUACUAGCUGGAAAGAGUUUCCCGACCAUGGCAGAGGGAGGAGGAUCCUUUGAGGUUCUGUGGUGUCCCUGAGUUGAGGAGACAAAGUUGAAAUUGCAGAGUGGUCAAGGCAGCUGGAGUUUGUAGAGCAGAGUACCAGAAAGAAAAUAGAUGCACAGAGAGAACCUCAGAGAUCUGCAAAAGAUCUCAGCUCUUCAGCUGUGCACAUAUCAGUACAUGCAUGUGACAAAGCACCCCAAGGCCAGGGGAAGAAUCACCUGAAAGUAUGAAGAGAAGAAUACUUG